AUGAUGCCCAGCCACCGGGCACGGCUUCCGGAGCGCGGCCGCCGCCUCCCGCCGCCGCCGGUAGGUCCGGGGAGGGGGCGCCUGGGGGGUCGCCCCGCCCCGCGCGCCCCGCCCUCCCGCGCGCGCCCGCCGCGCCGGGGCCGGGGCCGGGGACGAGGGGCGGCGGUGGGCGGCGGGCGGCGGGGAGGCGCGGCCGGGCCGCCCGUCCCCUCCGCCUGGGCCCGAGGGGCGGGGCGCGCCAGGACCUCGCCGCCCCCUCCCCCGGGACGCGAGGCGGGGCGGGCGGGCCGGGCGCCGGGGCGGGGGCGGCGGGGGCCCGGGGCGCCGCCGCGCAGGGGAGGGGGGCGGGCCGGAGGGUGCAGGCCGCGCCGGCGCCGGGCUCCCGGGCAGGGGCGCCGCGCGGACGGCAGGCGGUCACCUGGCCGCGCGGGGUCGCGGCCCCGCAGGCAGCCCCGGCCCCGCGUCUGCGCCCGGCGGCCCCGGCGCGCGCGUUCCUCGAAGGCGGCGGGGCCGGCGCCGCGGCCGGGGCCGGGGACGGGGCCGGGCCCAGGUGGGGCGCAGGUGAGGCCCGGCGCCGCGGCUUCCGGCCCGCCCGCUCCUCCCUCGCCGCGAGAAGGCGGUGCAGCCCUGCCCGGCGUGGCUUCGGGGAGGGUCCCGGAGCGCCGCCCCAGCCCCCGAGCCCACGGACCCCAGAAACAUAGCCUCGGGGGCUCCGACCUGCGUGGAGGCCGCGGCCCUUCCCUGCGGGAGGUGCUCGCCCUUACCUGGCCGAGGACAGGCCCUUGGCAGGGUCAGCACUGGGGGCGAGGGCCCCCAGGCAGGGACAGCCUGUGCUCAGGGGUGAACGGUCAGGACAAGGUCAGCAGCGAGGGACUCGCCUUGCCUCCAGCCCCCCGGGCGCAGGCAGUGGCACCGCAACUUUGCUUGGGGGACACGUUGCUGUGGUAUUGUCAAGGGUCACCCUCUGGCAGGCCAGGGCCCGGAUUCGAGCCCACGCCCACUUGA
rnacentral:lncRNA from 1 species